GACGAACGCUGGCGGCGUGCCUAAUACAUGCAAGUCGAGCGAAUGAUGAGGAGCUUGCUCCUCUGAUUUAGCGGCGGACGGGUGAGUAACACGUGGGCAACCUGCCCUUUAGUUUGGGAUAACUUCGGGAAACCGGAGCUAAUACCGAAUAAUACUUUUUCUUCAUGGAUGAAAGUUAGAAGAUGGCAUCUCGCUAUCGCUAAAGGAUGGGCCCGCGGUGCAUUAGCUAGUUGGUGAGGUAACGGCUCACCAAGGCAACGAUGCAUAGCCGACCUGAGAGGGUGAUCGGCCACACUGGGACUGAGACACGGCCCAGACUCCUACGGGUGGCUG
rnacentral:rRNA from 1 species